ensembl:rRNA 5S_rRNA 5S ribosomal RNA
GUCUACAGCCGUAACACCCUCAACAUGCCCGAUCCCGUCUGAUCUUGGAAGCUAAGCAGGGUCGGGCCUGGUUAGUGCCUGGAUGGGAGAAACACCAGAGGCCUAAAGAAA